GGCGGCUUUAGAUCUCAACAGCAGGUAUCAAAUUUUCUUGCGAAAGAGAAAGCAAUUUCCUCGGAAUUUUCCUGUAUUUUUAUCUGUUGACAAACUGCAUGAAUUCUCGAGAGCUUGUUCUUCUCUCUACAGCAACGGUUUUCGGUGCACUGGCAUCUGCUCUUGCGGCUCGCUUCUUUUUCUUCAACCAGAAAAAGCACUUUCCCCGAAU
rnacentral:misc_RNA from 1 species